rnacentral:rRNA from 1 species
GAGUUUGAUCCUGGCUCACGAUUAACGCUCGCGGUGUGCCUAACACAUGCAAGUCGAACGAACUGUUACGUUAGAAGCUUCGGUGGAAGAUGUAAUAUGUUAGUGGCAGACGGGUGAGUAAUGUAUAGGAAAUCUACCCUUAAGUCUGGGAUAACGUUUCGAAAGGAACGCUAAUACCGGAUAAUCUCUUUUUGUUGAAAUACUGAAAGAGAAAAGGUUUACUGCUUAAGGAUGAGCCUAUAUCUGAUUAGCUUGUUGGUGGGGUAAUGGCCUACCAAGGCGACGAUCAGUAGCUGGUCUGAGAGGAUGGUCAGCCACACUGGGACUGAGACACGGCCCAGACUCCUACGGGAGGCAGCAGUGGGGAAUCUUGCGCAAUGGGCGAAAGCCUGACGCAGCGACACCGCGUGAGCGAUGAAGCCUUUCGGGGUGUAAAGCUCUGUCAAGAAGAAUAAUAAUGAUAGUACUUCUAGAGGAAGUCACGGCUAAUUACGUGCCAGCAGCCGCGGUAAUACGUAAGUGGCGAGCGUUAUCCGGAUUUAUUGGGCAUAAAGCGCACGCAGGCGGUUAUUUAAGUCAGAUGUAAAAGGCUACAGCUCAAC